CCUACGGGAGGCAGCAGUGAGGAAUAUUGGUCAAUGGACGAGAGUCUGAACCAGCCAAGUAGCGUGAAGGAUGACGGUCCCAUGGGUUGUAAACUUCUUUUAUAUGGGAAUAAAAUGUUCCACGUGUGGGUUAUUGUAUGUACCAUAUGAAUAAGGAUCGGCUAACUCCGUGCCAGCAGCCGCGGUAAUACGGAGGAUCCGAGCGUUAUCCGGAUUUAUUGGGUUUAAAGGGUGCGUAGGUGGAUUGUUAAGUCAGUUGGUAAAGUUUGGGGCUCAACCGUAAGAUUGCAGUUGAAACUGGCAGUCUUGAGAACAGGAGAGGUAUGCGGAAUUCGUGGUGUAGCGGUGAAAUGCUUAGAUAUCACGAAGAACUCCGAUUGCGAAGGCAGUUCACCGGACUGCAACUGACACUGAGGCUCGAAAGUGUGGGUAUCAAACAGGAUUAGAUACCCCUGUAGUC
rnacentral:rRNA from 1 species